rnacentral:rRNA from 1 species
AUUGAACGCUGGCGGCAUGCUUUACACAUGCAAGUCGAACGGUAACAGGCCGCAAGGUGCUGACGAGUGGCGAACGGGUGAGUAAUGCAUCGGAACGUGCCCAGUCGUGGGGGAUAACGCAGCGAAAGCUGUGCUAAUACCGCAUACGAUCUAUGGAUGAAAGCGGGGGACCGUAAGGCCUCGCGCGAUUGGAGCGGCCGAUGUCAGAUUAGGUAGCUGGUGGGGUAAAGGCCUACCAAGCCGCCGAUCUGUAGCUGGUCUGAGAGGACGACCAGCCACACUGGGACUGAGACACGGCCCAGACUCCUACGGGAGGCAGCAGUGGGGAAUUUUGGACAAUGGGCGCAAGCCUGAUCCAGCAAUGCCGCGUGCAGGAAGAAGGCCUUCGGGUUGUAAACUGCUUUUAUACGGAACGAAACGGUCUGGGUUAAUACCCUGGGCUAAUGACGGUACCGUAAGAAUAAGCACCGGCUAACUACGUGCCAGCAGCCGCGGUAA